AUUUAAAACUUAUGAAUUGCUUAUUUCUGGAAUUUUCCAUUUAAUGUUUUUGGGCCGAGGUUUACCGUGGGUAACUGAAACCAUGGAACGUGAAACGGCAGAUAAGGGGGCGGGCUAGGGUAUAGUAUGUUCAUUGUACAGAUUCAAUGUACAUAAGUGACCUCAAGACCAUAGAUAAUAGUAAACCAUAGUAAUUAGGAAGUGAUAAGGUUUGACUACUCCUUACCUUUGCUUUUAAUAGGGUUUAUUCAAUCCUUAGUUUAUAUCAUUAAUUUUUCGCAAUGGCUGUGUUCAGCAACUGGCUCAGAACUGACUCCUGACAAUUUCACAGUUGUGUCUAUACCACUGUCAGUAAAGAGAGUAAGUCAUGGAGUCUCAGAGCUGUGGGUUUGAAUCCUGGUUCUGCCUCUCAUUUGCUGUGUGACUUUGGGGAGGCAACUUAGUCUCUUUAUGCCUCCGUUUCCUCUUCUGUAAAGUGGGGCCCACAAUAUUAGUCGACUCCGCAGCUGUGCUGGAGAUUACACUGAGGUAAUGCACACAGAACACUGAGCACAGUGCGAGCCACGUAGUAGGGUCUCAGUGAAUGUUUUCUGUGCUCCUCCCCCUCAUCAUCGUUUAGAGUUUAACAGUUGGCAAAGCACAUUCAGACACUGGCAGGCAGCCUCCAAGUGCCCCAGAGCUUCUUGCCCUUCAGUAUGCACACAAAGCCCCCUCCCACCCCACGUCGGGCUGGUCUGUGUGGCCAGGAGAAUGCAGCAGAAGUGGUGCUGUCACACCUGAGAUCAGGUUAUACUGAAGGUGGCUGUCACUUCUCUCCUGGUCACUCUUUCCCAUUCUCGGAGCUUUCCCUCUGGGGGAGCCAGCUGCCGUGUCUCGAGGACACUCAGGCAGCCCUGUGGAGAGGCCCACGUGGCACAGACUGAAACCCACCAGCAGCUGCGUGAGUGAGCUUGGCGGUGUUUCCUACAACCUGCAGAGGAGACUGCACCCCCAGCUGGGAGCUUGACUCCAACCUCAUGGCAUCCUCAGCCAGAACCAUUCGGCCAAGCCCCUGCUGGACCCUGACUCCCAGAAACUGGGAGAGGCAGUGUUUGUUGUUUCAGCUACGAAGGUUUGGGGCUAUUUGUUACGCAGCAGUAGAUAACCAGUAUACGUUCCUUCUCAUUCAUACCUACCACAACAGACAGUCUGACGGUGGCCAGGGAGUGUUAGUUAAUCCCUCAUCUCACAGAUGAGUAAACUGAGGUGGGAAGAGCUCAAGGGACCUGCCCGAGAUCUGUGAUGCAGUAGCCCUUGGUGUUCCCCACGGAUAAUUUUCUCAUCUUGGGGCUCUUGCUCGUAAGGGAGGCUGCUUGGCCAGUGUGGGCUCAGGGUCCCAGGGGCUUUUGAGCAAUGCAUCCUUUCAGGAGUUGGCCAGACUCUCCCGGCGUGGGAGGGAAUCCUAAGUGCUCAUCACUCCGUUUAACUCAUCAAACAUUCAUCAUAAAGGUUGGGCCAUAAACAGCCGCGAAUUCUCCACAUGGAUUUGAGAGCAGGGAGUACAAGAGUGGUUUUUCUCCUGCAUCAAUUUCUAGACCCGAGGAGCCCUCUUCAACUGUCCUGCUCCCUUGAAAGGCAGAUCCUAAAACAUAAAUUAUCACCAAGAGUUAAAAAACUGCAAAGUGUGUGAAUGUUUACUUUUGUUUUUUAAACAUAGAUUUGGCAUCCUUGUCUGUCCUUUCUUGAUUAAGGGGAAAAAAAGUGGGGAGAUGCAGGUAGAAUUAGGUCAGUCCACUUAAGAGCUUGGCUCUCCCUUUGGACAUAUCUGAGUUUGAAUCCCAGCCUUGCCACUAAUUAGCUGUGGGACCUUGGGCAGGAGACUUUACUUUCGUGAGACUCAGUUUCCCUAUGAAGUUCUUAGCACAGUGCCUGGAGCCUAAAAAGUGCAUACUAAAACUUAGCUGCUAUUAUUCUUCUUAUAACAUUGAUAUAUUAGUCAGCUUAGGGUAUGUUAUAGUGCAGUAACAAAUUGCCAACUCUCAACUCUUUUUUUAAAAUUAAUUAAUUUUUUAUUGAAGUAUAGUUGAUUUACAAUGUCGUGUUAGUUUCAGGUGUACAGCAAAGUGAUUCAGUUAUACAUGUAUAUGUAUAUAUACAUAUAUAUAUAAAUAUUUUUUCUUUUUAAGAUUCUUUUCCGUAUAGGUCAUUACAAGAUACUGAAUAGAGUUUCCUGUGCUGUGCGGUAGGUCCCAACUCUCAACUCCUACCCCAAAAUUUUUCUUCUUUUUUCAACCUGAAUUUUUUUGAAGUAUUGUUUUUUUCCCCAGUUUUACCGAGAUGUAAUUGACAUAUAACAUCGUGUUAGUUUAAAGUGUACAUGAUGAUUUGACAUGUGUAGAAACUGCGAAAUGAUCACCACAAUGAGUUUAAUUAACACCCAUCACCUCACAUAGUUAACGCAUUUUUUUUUCUCAUGAUGAAAACUUCUAAGAUCUGUUCUCUUAGCAACUUUCAAAUACACAGCACAGUAUGGUUAACUAUGGUCACCUUGCUGUACAUUACGUCCCCAGGAUUUAUUUAUCUAAUAACUGGAAGUUUGUAUCUUUUCACCCCCUUUAUCCAUCCCCCUCAAUUCCACCCCCCAAAAUGUUUAUUUCUUGCUCCCACAAAGUCCACUGCCGGCCCCGUGGCUUUCUGCAGCUGCCCUCUCUCCAGGCUGUUUGAAUCUUGUAGCGAGGCCAUCCGGGAAAAUGUGACUUCUCUUUAGCAGCAUCAGAGGCAAAAAGCUUGAGAGUCACACCAAGGCAGAGGCUGUCUUGUCCCAUUUCCCAGGUGGGGAAAUGAAGGCAUAAAGGGUGACACGUCUUGAGCGCUGACCCUGUGCCAGCCACUGAGCAAAACAAAUGCCUUAUCACAUCCUUGCAGAAACCCCACGGGGGGUCAUAUUAAUUUUGGUAUCCCUGAUUCACAAAGGAUAAAACCUAGACCCACGGGGUAGGACGUGACCUCGCUCACAGCCUGGUCUCCAGCCCAGGUCUGCCGAUGCCUCAUUUCUUGUCCCUCGAUGGACCUCGAGACCCGCGUACCUGUGCUGAGAGACCACCCCGGUGCCGGCCGACCCGGGUUUCACACCACGGCGACACUGACACUGGGGCUGGAUCCUUCUUUGUGAUGGGGGGCUGUCCCGCGCUUCGGAGGAGAUUGAGCGGCAUCCGUGGCCUCCAGCCAGUCCUUCCAGACUUUGCCAAAUGCCCCUUGGGGGCAAAAUCGCCCGCGGUUGAGAACCACUGAUGUGUGUGGUGAGAGUCACGAGCUAUGAGCUGAGGUCCCUGCCAGGCCCUGCGUAACCAAGUGGCCUUAACUCUGAGUGAAGCCAAAACAUUAGUAGUCGGGCUUUGGAAUUUCCUAACUUUUAGGUAAAAUAACCUUUGAUUCCUGGUGUCAUUUGGGGCAAGUCUCUCCACAGUGAUGAGCAUUUUUCUUCAGCUGCGAAAUGGAGCAGACGAAGUCUGCUGACGGAGUUGUUAGGAGAGUGAGUCGAGAUGCUGGUUGGGUGCCCUGGCACGGCACUAGCACACAGUCAGUGCUUUAUUGUCCUUUAGUUAUGACCUGUCACAUGGGCUUGGGGGGUGGUGCACAUUUCCUAGCAACCAAAGCUACUUUUCCCGGUCUGUUGAAUUUCCAAUCCUGUGUCUUCAGGCUCUACAUCCAAAUAUAUGCCUUCUGCCAAAGCCCGAUGUUAUCCGGCAGCCCACACUCCUGUCACUCACCAGCCUGAUUUCUAGAAACGGCCCUUCCCCGGGCACACCUAUAAUUUAACAUCUGUAAUUCCUCAAUUAGUAGUCAGCAGUCCGUUCUGUUCUUCUCGGUAAUUGCCUUGUGCCCUGGGGAGGGUAAGGGAUGGAUGUGGGGGCCGUGUUGAGGCAGCUGGCGCCCUCACCCACCGCAGACAUCUCAGCAGGAAGUGCCUGGAAGGUUCUGGAACCCCUGGCGCUGGGUUUGAAGAGGGUACCAAGGUAGCCGCCCUGGUGGAUGAUGGGAAACCGAGCUUCAGUAUCCGUAAAAAUUUUUUCAUGAGCCCUGGGAGCAAGUGUAAACAGGCCGCGGAGGAGCAGGGCGCUGAUGUGGAGCUCCUCUUCCUGGAGAGGCUCCUGAGCCUUGAUUGCCAGAGCGUCUAGAUUGUUCCUGUCCACUCCUUCCAUGUUACAGCUGGGGAAGCCAAGGCCCAGAGAGGGAAAGAGACCUACACAAAGUCACACGGCAAGUCGGUGACAGACCCAGUAUCGGAGCUUUUGGGUUUCUAAAUUCAAAGUUGGGGCAGUCAGAGGUCGUGCAGUUCCCAACCCUGAUAUCCUUCAGUGUCGAGCAACAGACAUUUAUUGAGCUCCUACUGUUUGCAAAACUCUGCAGUCAGCUGUGCGAGUCACUGAAGAUAAUGAGAUGCAGUUCCCACCUCGGAGAAGUUUUCAGAAAAGUGACUAACAUGCAUAUACCAGCUGCACAGCCUCGAACCAGCCUCUUCUCUGCAGCCCUGGCGGUGGGCCUCACUUUCCCUUUCUGUACAUGGAGGCUCCGGUGUGACCUUUUCAGGCCUCCCCAGUGGAAUCAGCCUGGAUUCAAAUCCCUGCUCCUCUGUGUGCUGGCGUGUGACUUUCAGCGAGACUUUGAGGAAGCCUCGGUUUCCACAUCCGCAAGAAGGGGAUGGGAAUUCCAGGCGGUGAUGAGGGUAGAAUGCUCAGCAGAGUGCCUGGCCCGUGGUGAGCCCUCGGUAGCUAGUAGCUGGUAAUCGUGAUGGCUUCACUCUACCUGGCCUCGCUUUCCAACCACCCGGGGCUGCUCCCCGCUCUUCGAGAACCUUCCCAUCUCCCCAUCUGUGCGCCAGCCAGCAAGGAUGGAGCAGCGGCACGGACUCCGCUCUCUGUUGGCGGUUUGAAAAGGUUAAGCCUCUCCUUCAAACUGCGCUGUUUUCUCUCCAGAACGACCCUCCACCCGCAGGUGCUCUGGUUGUCAGGAGAAGGAUAGAGCAGAGCAGGUGGGCCUGGCCUGCAGUGACAGAGCCAGCGGCUCCCAGCCUCCUUUGCUUCCACUCAGCUUCCGCACCCUCCUCGCAGGACACACCCCACGAGCCCUCCCCACCUCCACCCGCCCCCGAGUUGCUCCCUGGUGAUGAAAGCACAUCAGGGUCAUUAACGGCCACCGCUAAUUAGGAAAGAAGAGACAGCACAGAGUUAAAUAAGGGACCUUCUGAGAUGUGGCUGAGGGCAGAACAGUUGGAGAUCCUUCAUAUAUAUUUUUCCCUUUCUCAUGAAUAAAUACAAGCCCUUUUGGGGGAGGGACUGAAAAUAAGAACGGAGGCCGGCAGAGCUCUGCUUAAUGAGUUUCCUAAUCUUUUCAUAUAAUGGGGAGCCCUGUGGAUUUUCAACAACUCGGUGCCGUCGUCGGUGGAAGGCAGGGCAGUGGGGGAAGCCGCACGGGCCGUUCGAAUCCUUUGUGCUACCACUUCCUGUAUCUGGGGCCUUGGCCAAGGGCCUUGACCUCUUUGAGCAGUGGUGUCCUUGAGUGCAAAAGGGGGCUAACACUGUGAGAACCGAGCUCAAACUUUGGUGGGCGCCUUGGAUACUGGUUCAGUGAGUAGAAUCCCAGGUGGAGGUCUUCUGGGUCUUAGGUGGGCCUCAGAAUCUGCCUGCAUUUCAAGAGCCCCAGGUAGAGAUGGUCACGUGGGCACCACCCUUGGAGAAACAGUUCCUUAAAGCAGUUCCCUCAGUCCGCAAAUAUUUCUCGAGCGCCUACUGUGUGCCAAGCCUAGUCGGAGGCCCUAGGGGUCCAUCAGGGAACAAGACAGAGGUGGUCCCAGCCCUCAAGGACAGUAUGUUGUUACUGAAGGGCCGGCUGUGUAUUUGCUCUAGUGAACCUCUUGUGGUUGGAUGAAUGAAUGAAUGAACGAAAGAAUGAAUGGCUGCAUGAGUUGUUAAUAUUGUUCUGAUCAUAGAUGUGUCUUUGCAGCUUCUUCCAAAUUCUUUCUAGCCAUUCUUGCUAGAUCACAAAGCAAUACUGAGAUGUAUUUGCCCUUUCACGUCCUCAGAGCGCAGCAGUACACCUGACACAUCUGUGACAGUUAGUAUCUGAUGGAUGGGUGAAUGAAUGAAUGAAUGAAUGGACACAUGCAUGAAUGAACUGUAAGCUCCUGGGUACCCACCAGCCAGAUUAGUUGUCUGGAUGACUAGGAGCUGUGUUUUCUUGCUAGGAACAAUGGUCUGGAGAGGCUCUAGGUUGUAAAUCGGAGUUCCACGUUCAAGGUGUAUCCAUGGGGUCAUGGCCGUUCUCUCCGAGGACCACAGAAGCCCCGGGGCCUAUGGCGGUCAAGUCUCAAGAACUUGAGGGUCAGUCCGUGUCUUGACCAGCCAGAGAAAGUCCAGCUUUGUUCUCACUACUACAGUUGGUACCUUGCUUUGCUGCGCCCACCCCCUAAGCCGUCUUUCUGGACCCCAAGGUUCUCACUGCUACCCUGGGCUCACAGGUCUCGGUUUACUCGGCUCUGUGGAGCUGGAGUCAGGCAGCCUUCCAGAGAGCUAAACCGGAGCCCUUUCUGAAUUCCUAGGGCGUGUUGCCAAAGGAAGGCUCCUGAAGCCUCCUCAGGAGCUAGUUGGGACUCCAUCCUCUGCUUUUAUUGAGCCAACUUGUAUUAAGGACCUGCUGUGUGCCAGGCACGGUGCUGGGUUCACGGACCUGACUUGACUUCGCCUGCAGGGUCACCCAAGGGUGUAAGCCAGAAGGAAGGGUACACUUAGUGCCCUGGGCCCUUGCAUGCUGAGGCUGGGGCUUCUCCCUACUACUUCUGUGCACUUUUCGUCCCAUGAGCUGAGCUGCCGAGGUGCUUUAUUAUGUCUCUCCCCCGAGAACAGAAGUGCUGUGAGGACGGGAGCCUCUCUCUGUUUUGCUGAGUCAGAAAGAGCUAGUUAGUGACAAAAAGCAGACUCUGGAGCCAGACGCAUCUGUUCGAAUCCCAGCUUUGCAGCCUUCUAGCAGUGUGUGUAGGCAGGUUACUCUGUGCCUCGGGUUCCUUAUCUCUAAAAUGGGGAUAGGGACUUCCGUGGUGGCUCAGUGGUUAAGAGUCCGCCUGCCAGUGCAGGGGACAUUGGUUCGUGCCCUGGUCCGGGAAGAUCCCACGUGCCGCGGGACAACUAAGCCCGUGCAUCACAACUGAGCCUGCGCUCUGGAGCCCGCGAGCCACAACUACUGAGCCCGUGUGCCACAGCUACUGAAGCCUGCGCGCCUAGAGCCCGUGCGCCACAAAAAGAGGAGCCACUGCAACGAGAAGCCCGCGCACCAGAACGAAGAGUAGCCCCCAAUCGCCGCAACUAGAGAAAGCCCGUGCACAGCAACAAAGACCCAAUGCAGCCAAAAAUAAAUAAAUAAAUAAAUACAUUUUUUUUUAAAUGGGGAUAAUGAUAGUACUUCAUAGGGUUGUUGUGAAGAAUACAUCAGUUGACACAUGUAAAGCACCUAGGACAGUGCCUGGCAUGUAGUUGGCUCUAAAAAGUUCUUAGUAUGGAUAUUAACAUUAUUAUAUUUGCAGCUAUAAGAAUAUUAUAAAUAAAUACACAAAAUAUCAUAAAUAUUUUGAGGGAUGAUUUACAUACAGCAAAAUGCAUAUAUCUUAAGCACAAAGCUUGAUGAGUUUUGACAAAUGCACACACCCAUGUAACCUACAACUCUAUCAAGAUCUAGAACAUUCUCACUCCCCCUCAGAAAUUCCUUCAUGCCCCUUCCUGUCAGUCCUCCUUACCUGGAACUUAAUAACACUUCUUGAAUGAAUGAAUGAAUGAAUCAAUGACUGGAGAUCCAUUGGGUUUGAUCCCAAACCUCUUAUGCCGAUUGUACUUGUAACCAUAGCUGCAUAACUUGAUUAACUGUUAGGUAAAUGUAGAAAUAGGAGUGCAAAAAGAAAGAGAGUUGUCAUACUAUGAAAACUUGAACUCAUUGAAGAGAUUCCAUAAAGGUGAACUGCUAAAAAAGAAUGACUGUCCUGUCGGGGCGGAGGAGACUGCGAAAGACUGGGGUGAAAAAUCCAGGCGUCUAAGUGGGUUCUCCAUCCCAGGAUGUCCAAGUGUCUGGGCCUCCACUCAGAGCCCAGGCACCUCCCUGGCCCUGCAGCACCGGGGACCCAUGCCCCUGGGCUCAGAGCCCCUCUCCCCCCACUGCCCUCCAAACCUGUCCCUCCCAGGGAAACCGAGAAACUUAGCACCCCAGACCUGGGUGCUAAGGAAUAGGGGAGGUGGAAGAGCUUCCAGAGCAUAUUCUGCUGGGGUUUUCACAGGGGUGGAGGGACCAGAAGGAGAGAGGUGGAUUCCAGGGCCCCAGCCCUCACGCCUCACCUACCACAUCCCAAACCCGGUUGCUCCCCUGUCUUUGUAAUAUACUGGGCUUCUGUGAUUUGGCUUCUAGAGAUUUUUCUAAAGCUAACAAAGGAAAAGGAAAGUGGAAAGCGGGUGCUGCGGUGCCAGCCACUACCCUCAAUCAGAGACGAGGGGACAUUCAAACAGAGCUAGUGCCUUGCCAGUGACAUACAGCGACCCCGUGACAGGGGCUGUUCCAAGUCUGGCUUCCAACUCCCAGUACUGAGUCUUUCCCUGUGGUCCCGGCUGGGUGUUGUCCAGCCCUGCAAAGCUGAAUCCCGGGUGGGGGCCUGCCUAUAGCCCAAGUGAUGCCCUUUUCGGGAUCUUAGAUACACAGGUGCCCAGCAGGUAAGGGUACCUGGUACCUUGUCAGCCCGCAGGGGGUGCCUGGUCCCCUGGCCUGCUUCUAAGGGGAGCUGCUGUGGUUCGGGUCUUUGGUUCGGCUUUUCUCCCUCCAGGGCCUGGCAAGCAGCACAGGGGCUGCUCCUUCCCUCCAGGGAGAGGUGGCGAUGAAGUCACCUCCAGGCCCCUGGGCUGCGUGGCUGGUCAGGUGAAGGGGCCGUUGGCACCUGCUCGGGCUGAUGUCACCCUGGGAAGCCAUUCAGUGCCGAGGGCCGCCUCCAGCCUUGGCCGCCUGCCCGCCCUGUUGCCUGUGUCCUGUUUUGUUUGUUAUGUGGGGCGGGCUCAGGGAGGGCCCGGGGUUCGGGGAUACACAGUCUUCUCCCUGCUCUCUGAGACCAGGGUGGCGCCAUCCCUUUUCUUCUGGAGACACCCCAGGCUGCGGGGCAGACUGGUUUCAGGUUCAAAUCCCAGCUCCGCCACCUCCAGACCGGGUGGCGGUGGGCAGGUUGCUUUGCCCCCUGUGCCUCUGAGUCUUCCUCUCUGGAAAGGGGUGUUGGGGCGUCAGCUCACAGGGGUUGAUCUAAGGGUGACCGAGGACGCGUGUGAAUGCGCUCUGCACAGCGCCUGCCCUCGGGAACGCCUGUGAGCUAGCGCCCGAUGGGGAUGGUGACGGCUGCUGUUCCUCUUGUGUGGGACAUGGUUACGAACGCUGUUCGUGUUAUUCCCAGAACUGAUUUAAGUCAAGCUUUUCAAAACAAAACAAAACAAAACCCGAGACACACUUGCUCCCUUUUGGACCCCCACUUGUUUUAAAUCAGUGUAACUUAACAAGACACAGAUCAUCUGUAAGCAGGAUUUGGGUCGUUUCCAAAACCUUCCUUCACUCUGGCAAAGCUCUCAGCCUCCCAAUUUGCAAACCAUUGUUAGAGAUCCACAGUUCUCAAAAAAUGCAGGUACCCAGGGCCCUGCCUCUUGAGAGUCUGACAUAAUUGGUCUGGGAUGCUGUCCAGGAAGCUGGAGUUUUCACAGCUCCCCAGGUGAUCCCAAGGUGCCACCAGGGCUGGGAUCCACUGGGUCAGGCAGCAUAACAGAAAGAACACAGGCUUCAGAGUAAGAAUGACCCAGGAUCAAACCCCAGACCUGCCACUUAGCUUCUGGGCAACCGUGGGCAACUGCCUACAUGUCCCGGAGCCUCAGUUUCCUUAUUUGUUAAUGUUUCUAGAGGCUGCUGGGAGAGACCUGAGGUGGAUACGAAUGGUACCUCUCAUGAGUUUGAUGAGUCAAAGGAUGGACAUUCCACAGAGGUGUUCCCUGGAAAUCAGGGCAGGGACCCUAGACCCUUGUCCAGCCAGCCAUCCCCACCUUGUCAACACCGGGGACCCCCAUUCCUGGCUUCCCCCCUUCAGUUUUGUGGUCUGGGAGUUUCCCAGAAUUCUUUGUUGCUACACUGGACUUGAUUCGUGUUCCACGCAUAAAGAUUACCAGAGACAAUUCACUUAAGAAUCACUUGGUUAAAUAACGUUUCUAAUGCAGGACUUUUCAGAGCCUUUAAUUAUGCAAAUAUACAUUAGGAACCUCCAGAGAUGGUCGUUGGCUUCCCGUACGUCUGAACUCUCUCCAUCGAGAGAAGUGCGGUACAUCUGUUCCCUGACUCGAGUGGGAGAAGGUCACGGCAGGGAAUGGACACACCAAUUGUCAGAAGUCCGCUUUCAGAAACGCUAAAUCUGGGGUUAGGGAAAUGUGCCUCCAAUUGGGGGAAUUGGGUAGCAUGCGUUGAGUACAGAAUUCACAAAGGGUUUCUCUGGGUUGGUAUCUUGCAUAACAUACUUUGGGAAACACGCCCAGUCCUUUCCCCACCCCCCCCACCCCCCCGCUCUGGAAUUACAUACAUAGGUUUCCAUUAAAAGACUCUGUUCUCCAAACUGCCUUUAUAGAGUCAACAUUAAUUCAUUCCCUCCUCGAUUUUUAUUGGGCAGAGAGGAAGGUACAUGCAUCGAUGUGUCCAUCACAGCCAUCUGGGCAUUGAUGGGACAGUCCUAAGAGGCCCUGAGAUUCCAGAAGAGGAUCUCUGUCCGGCCAGGGCCCUUUGUUCAGAGAAGCUGGCUGAGAGGCCCAGAGGUAGAUAUGACGUGGCCAAGGUCAAUCCAGAACUACGCCCAGACCCGGGUUUCUUUUUGUUUGUUUGUUUGUUUUAACAUCUUUAUUGGAAUAUAAUUGCUUUACAAUGUUGUGUUAGUUUCUGCUGUAUAGCAAAGUGAAUCAGCUGUGUGUAUACAUAUAUCCUCAUAUCCCUUCCCUCUUGCGUCUCCCUUCCACCCUCCCUAUCCCACCCCUCUAGGUGGUCACAAAGCACCAGCUGAUCUCCCUGUGCUAUGCAGCUGCUUCCCACUAGAGAAUGGACUUCAGACCCAGGUUUCUUGCUGUGAUCUGUCUGGCUGAGUACGUCGCAUGCUGUUUUUACAGCCUGAGCCUGGUUGGCCUCCAAUUAUUAUUGAAAUGAGUGGAGGUUUCCGGGAACAGAACAAAUCCGUAGAGUUUAAUUAAUGAAUAUGCCCGAGGGCUUGGCAUCUGGAUUCCUGUGUUUACCACAGGCUCGGCUCGCAGGCAUUUCCUACUGCGAGGGGCAGGGUGGAGCCCAUCUCCCUGCCCACCCCUGCCCUCCGGGUGGAGAUUGAGAGAGAGCGGGAGAGAGAAGCUGAAAUCUGAUUCCCCCACCCCCUUCGCAGCCCGGUUCCUGCAGAAGCUUUUCUGUAUUGUUUUCAGAAGCACCGGCAUUUUGUUUUUAGCAUUCUUUAUCAGUUGGUCGAAACGAAAUCGUCCCUCAGAGACCCUGGAAAUAGAACGAAGUGUCUGUGACGCCGGCAGACCUAAGCAGAAGUUGUGCUGUCAGUUCAGCCAACCAGCACCUUAAACCAGACCCGGGUCCUAUGGUGACCAGUAAAGCCGAGAUAACCUCGGUGUCCUGAGCUCAGAGGGGGAGGCCCCUGAGGAUUGCAGCUGAGCCAGCCAGGAUCUCAUAUCCAAUGGUCACGGGGCUCAGAGUCCGACAGCCCUGAGGCUAAAUUCCAGAUCUGCCACUUGUCAGUUCUGUGUCCUGGGGCAAACUCCCUAAUGUCUCUGAAUCUCAAUGUCUUCUUAGCUAAGAUGGGAAUAAUAAUUAUACACACACACACAUAUACACAGAUGUACUGUAAAGACUAAAUGAGCUAAUACAGGUAGAGCACUCAGCACAAUGUCUCAUAGUAAACACUCCAUAAAUGUUAGCAAUUAUCUUAAUCAUCGUUAUAUACAUCCCAUUUUAGAGGUGUGACAGCCGGGUCCUGGAGAGAUCCAUCGACUUGCCAGAGGGUUGGCCUCACAUCACGAUUAGAUGUGUGUCUUGUGACAGUGCCCGCAGGCCCUUCCACAUCCUUUAUACUCACAAAGAUUUGAGGGAUCUCAGGCACUUGGGGCUGUUCUUCCGAAUGUCUUUCAUCGCUUGGACCCCGUGCGCCGCUUCUAGUAGCGGGAGCUGCUUGUUUUUCCCUCUGCCUUCACACUUGCGAAAUUCUCUUCCCACUCUUGCAGUCUAGAGAAUUGAAGCCAGACGUGUGACUAAUCAACGCCUCUUAAGUGGGGAAAUAGGACCUUUUAGAUGUCAUUAAAAUGGCAGCCUGCCCCUCACUUGGCCGCCUGAUGGGCGGCAGCUUCAGAAAUGGACGAGGAGAGCGUUUCCUUCUCCGCCGUCCUCCUGGGCCCUGCCUCUUCCAGCUCCUGGGAGAGCUACAUACAGCCACGCUGAUGGCAGCUGACUCCCUGAGCGCUGUGCGCCAGGCACUGUUCCAAGGGCUUCACGUGCUUUGAUGCUUUUAAUCCUCACAAACGUCCUGUGAGGUAGGUGGUGUUAUCCCACUUUACAGUUUUGGAAACUGAGGCUCAGGGAGCUGAAAUGACCUGCUCAAGGUCACACAGAUGGGAGGACACAGUCGGCACUGGACAUAGGCCUUUGGACUGGAGCCUGUGAGCCUAACCGUGAUGCUAUCCCAGAGCUGUAACCUCUGCAGUUAACUUGAGCUCUGAGUUGGAAACCGCCCUUUUCCUAUUUCGAGGAGGAUGAGGGGAGGGAGCCGAUAUUCCUUAUGUAGCUACUCUGGACUUUAUGUGCCAGAUGGUAUGAGCCCUGUACAUAUAUCUCCCAUUUCAUUCUUUUUUUAUAUGCUUCCUCCUCUCUCUUCUCUUCCUCUCUCUCUGUCUCUCUGUCUCUGUCUGUCUCUCUCACACGCACACACACACACGCACGCGCGCACACACACACAUGCACACAAUUAACAUUAUGGUCCCUCCUUGUUCAGUGAAGAAAUCAAGACUCAAGAGACCUCAUGGGGCUUCCCCAGAUCACACAGCCAGUGAACAUCAAGCUUCAAACCCAGCUCUGGGUGCUUCUGAGCCCAUACUUUUUUCCACAUUGAGCCAGAUUGUGGCGUUGCUGAUCCUGUCCCCACAGAGGAGCAGGAAUAAUGUGAAUCCGGAGCGUGGCAUCAUAGAAAUAGCCCAAGACCAGAAGUCAGGAAGCCAGGAACUUAGUCCUGGUUCUGGCAGGACCCUGCUGUGGGGCUGCAGAAAAAUCCUACCCCUGCUUUUGCUUCCAUUAUCCCAUUUAUACCACAAGGGGUUGGUCUCCCAGGUUUUUAAGCCUCCUUCACGUGCCAACAUUUCAUGUGUAUUCUGAUUAUAGCGAAAGGUGCCUGGAUGUGUAUCGUGGAGAAGACAAAGCUCAGGGCAGACCUUUGAGAGUGUCCCUGAAGUGGGGGAAUGAAUCACCUCUGUUCUGCAUGGGUCUCAAGGUUUUUACUUAACAACAAAAGAGAAACUUUUCCCCAGUAGCCGAAUAGACAGGUCCCAUCACUGGGAUACACUUCAUGAAGCUGUAGACAUUAGGGAAUCUGAAGUGGUGAGCCUCCUGUCUCUGGAGGAAAUCAAGCAAAGGCUGGGUGCUCUAGACAUGAGGCAGAACUAGAACGACCUCUCAAAUACCUUUCAGCUCUGUAAUCUGGUGGUUCUGAUAAAAGAUAACCAGCUGGUGAGCCUAGAGCAGGGUACCAAAUAGGUCUCUGCCCACUAACUAACUCUAAACGAUGCAGUGGCUGCCUGGGGUGCUGUGUUGGGGAUCUCAGGGCUUGUCAGGGCUCAGUUCUAUAAUUGAUUUUUAAUGUCUGCUAUGGGCAAACAAGGGAGUGUUACUGACUUUCUCCUUUUCCCUGUUUUCUAAAGAGUAAUGCUUUCUGUUUCCAACAUGAACUUUUUACUAUAUUUUUGAAAAUCUGGGGACAGGAGGGCAUGGUUGUCAGCAGCCAUCCACUCCCACACCCAGAGUUCUCUGUUCUACAUUACCAGGCCCGUGGGGUCUGUCUGUAAAGGUCAGAGGCUUUAGGAAAAUGUCAUGGACUCAUGGAAUGGUUGCUAUUCACCUUGGUUUCCUUCAGGCUGGGAGAAUUUGGCAAUAGCCAGUAAUUGAGGUUAACAGAAACCUAUAAUAAACAAGAACACUUGAGAUUAAUCUCUUCUGUUUCUCGGGACGGCACCAUUGUAUACCUGCCUAAUUUUCAAAGCUUAUUACUGAGUAAUCGGUGAAUCGGACCUGUGCUGGGGAAUCAAGACAGGCAUAGCCCGUUUUCCUGUAAGUCUCUUUUUUUCUUUCUGCUCAAUUACUGUUGUUAGCCAUUAUGUCCUCAUCAAGUGAUUUCCUUUCAAAGCAAAAUAAAAGUUGCGCAUCCCUUCCUGGGAGAAUUUUUCCUCCUGCCAGGACCUGCGUAUAGCUGGGAAAGUUUCCAGCAAGCAAACAAUUUACGGUGCGGGGGGUCGGGGGGGACCCACAGAGAUUAAGCCACUUAUGCCUAAGGUCACACAGCCAAAAAGCAGCAGAGCUGGGCCUGUCUGCCUUAAAGGCACCUGCUCUUAAAUAUGUCAAGUGACUGUCUGUCCUGCAGUAGAUGUUCAGUACACGAUGGUUUAUUUUUCUUGUCCAUGUCUCAAAAGUUGUUCGUCUCUGUAUCUGUCAGGAUAGGUUAGGUUAUUCUGCAGUAACAAACAAAACCCCCAAAGUUCAACAGCGUAAAACAGAAAAAUAGGUUUCUUUCUUGAGUGCUCCACAUGUCCACUGACACUGGCUACGUCUCUGUUUCACGUCAUUGUCUCUCCGAGGCCUAGGUUGAUGGAGCAGCUUGCCAGGGACAUGACCAGCCACAGGAAAAGAGGUAGAGCCAUCAUUGAGGGAAAGAGAAUGUGGCAGCCAUCACCGGCCCUUAAAGUUUCUACCUGGAAAUAAAUGACCUCACUCCUGCUCACACUUCAUUGGCUAGGGCAAAUAACAUGGCCACACCUGUACUCAAGAGGGAGUAUAAUUUUUCUGCGGGGAGAGGCAGUAGAUACGUAUGCCUCAUAAUACAGUCUGCCUGCCACAGUCUCUGCAUGAUCUCUGUGGGUUCGUUCGUAGAAAUGAGUUUGCGCAGGCUCAUGUUUUUCCUUUCCUAUAGCACGAGCCACCCUUUUGGAUCAAUUCUGUCCUUGUUGCUUGGAUUUAUUAAGGAGCCCCAAGUUGGACAUAUACCCAUUCUCCAGUAGAGCACAAUUCCUGACUCUGACAUCUCCAUUGAUUUAUUCAUCUGUUGGUUUCAUCCUAGAGGUGGACUGCCAACCUGCAAUGGUGAAAGAAACCUCCAAAUAUAAAGUCUUUCAAGGGAAGUCAGAGUUCUUUAAAGAAAUGCAGGACUGUGUCCCUCCAACCCACAGAAGUACUGUCAGGCGGGUUACUGCACGUGGGCAGCGCGUAAAUCGAGUGCCUACUGUGUGCCAGACACUUCUGUGCCUACAUCAGAGUGGUCUGUGGUUACAGGCUGCCUCAGGAGGGUUCCAGAGAACUCAGGGAGGUGGCCUGUCUUUGGGGGCUUGGGAAUUCCACCCGCUGCCUGUUCUUCACAUUGAGGGAAAGGGACAGCCAGCUUCAGUGGUUGAGCAGAGAAAAGCACCAGACAGUUACACCCCCUCCACCAGCCCCUGACUGAGAAGCAGGAGGAGGAAUUAAUACGGGGUCUAGACACAGUCUUAAGGGGUCUCCUGAGCGCCUGUGUUCAUCUCUUCUCAGUUGGGAACGCUGGGGAUCCUGCUCUGAAGGUACUUACAAAAGGAACGCUCAUUGCCUGUGGUGCUCAGAGGGGCAAUUACAUAGUAAGAAGGGGGAGCCUUGGCGCUCUUGACGUGGCUUGCCUGGGAGGCCCGCGGGAAGACGGGGACUUGGCGGUCUGCAGCCGCCAGCCUUGCUCCUGCGAGGAGGGGUCCCAAUCAGAACCAGCCGAUCGGGGCUAGGCAUCUCCCCACAUUUACUGUAUUUAAAGAGAUGGUCCAUCAAAGUGGAUUUCCAUGUUCCAACUUCCUGAACCUGAGUUCCAGUGGUUCUGAUUUAGAACACGAGUUCCUGGGUCUGCCUGGCAACUGCCAAGGUCUGGAGUUCGGUAGAUGUGAAUUUGAACGCUGGCUCCACUAUGUAUGUAAGUCCCUCUCCCUCUCCAAACCUCAGUCCCCCCGCCCCCCGUCAUACCCCCAGCUUUAAAUGAGGCAGUGGAUGGUCCUUGCCUUAUAGGGGCAGAAGAAGGGGAAAAUGCAAUGGGGGUGAGUCACGUGGCAGCACCCCCUUAAGCUGGGAAACAUCACAAAUGUGGUGGGUGUUUGUUCAAGAUUAAGAAUUAAUGAGCUGCAAAUUUCUCCAUCAAGCAUUUCUGCGGGCAGACCUUUAACAUCUACAGUACCCCGUAAUUCCACACUCAAGUCCCAGGGGGCGGGGGGUGGGAUGUGCACUGUAGCUACAGCCUCUGGUUGCCUAGCAAUGGGAAACCCACCCCAGCUGAUACUCUAAUUUGUCAGAACGUUUCAGCCGCUGCAAUGGUUCCGAUGUCCAGUUACACGAGAAGGAAAAAAUCAGCAGCGUGCACAAACCUGUCCACCAGUUGUAGAAUCCAACCCCUUCCCAGGGGCUUCUCAAGCCAAAAGCGAGACUGGUUCUUUCCCCGUAGGGGGCGAGUGAGCCCCAUGGGUUUACAGCUCUGUCCCCCUGAACCAGCACCACUGCCAUCUUGGCCUGUGGGUCCGGCUUUGAAAUGGUGUUUGGGUCUGAGACCAGCAGGAUAUUGUCUGCGGCUCUCAGUCCAUCUGGGCUCCCUUUAAACCAGGCGGGUGAAGCCCAGGGAGCUCCAGGGAGCUGCUUCGACUCCCACCUGACGAUUUAAUCCCCACUCACUGCUGGGCACUUUCAUUCGAGGGGUUUACACACACAUCUGGCUCGGCCGACGCUCCUUUACAAGGGCCAUGUCCUCCCUGGUAAACAUAACGAUGCCUGGCCCCCGGCUCUCCACCUGGCCCAGUUCAACAAAUGACCUUCCCCGUAUACCCACCCUCGCAGGCCACUGGACAAACUCCUAGAGCAGUUCUAAGGUCUGGCAAAACUGAGUGUGGACUUUGGGCUGGGACGCUUUUCAGAGUCACGUGUUCUCCGGUGUAAGGAGCGCUGAAACUCGCCAAAGCUAAGGCAAAUAUUUGUAUGGUCUUCCACAAUAGCUGAGUGAAGUACGGUUACUGUCCCCAUUGCACAGAUCGGGAAACUGAGGCCCAGUGAGGCCAAGGGACUGACCCAGGGCCCUACUGCCAGGCGGGGGCAGAGCAGGGCUUGGAACCCACGCUUGUCUACGCAAGGGGUUCUCACUCGAAACCUCCUUCUUUCCCUGGGAAACCCUGCGCAAGCCCCAUUCACUGUUAGUUAACCCAGACCUUGCCAGGGUCCCCGCGUGGCUAAUAUUAGGACCUGAUGAUGUUUCAGUGCAAGAAUGGAGAAGGAACAAGGGGUGUGUCCCCCACGGGAGGCUUGUGGCCCUUUUGCUCUCACAGUGUUUGACUAACCUGCUUUUAAUCCCCCUUGGCCAUGCACACCUGGGAAUCCUUUCUCUUUAGGGACCAUGAGUGGAUCCCAGUGGUCCCCAGAGCCACCUGACAGCCAUGGGGCCCACCUGAGGCCUGGGUCCCUGGUGUGGGUUCCCUAAUUAUUGCUGGAAACCAUCCCUCUCCUGUCAACAUGAUAUAAAUAGGAAGCUGGAGGAAGAAUUGAAAAAAAACGCCACUGGCUCUUUUCCCCAGUGUGGGUGGGUUGAGUUAAAAAACCAUCAGGCCGCCGGCAUCGCUGUGUUGGAAAGCCUGAGGGGGUGGAGGGUGGCCGCCGCUGCUGAAACUCAGAGGUGGCCCUGGACUCGGUCGGCCACAUCCUCUUCUGUUUUCAUUCUCAUUGGCAGCGCAGGCUGCAGAAUUGGAUUCUGAAGUUGAGAGUCCUCCAGUGACCUGCCCCUUGGGCAGUGACAGUGACUGUGAUUUCCCCAAGGCCACAGUGUAGCCCAGCCUGACCGUGACCCUGCUGACAUGUUCCAGGGGGAUUGGGAGGGACUGGUCCUGGCGAUGCCCUGACCUUCCUCCAGGAGGGAAGCAGCAGAAACAGCCUCCAGCCUCUCAACACCACCUCCAUCCGUGGUGUCACCUGCCCAGGCCACUUCCCCUCUCUGGACCUCGGAUUCCUGGACCCUAGGUGAGGUCCCAGACAGCUCCAAUGCACUCGGUGGAAAACCCAGGCAGGAGAGCAGAGUCAUCUUUUGCCAGUGGUGUGCGUGAGAGUGUGCACGGGUGCAUAUGCAACUCUGGUUAUAAACUGUGUAUUUAAAAAACCCCGGUGACGCACUGGGAAGGUUACCUGUGCAGAAAGUGAACUUCACACUGGUUGGAAGGUCCUUUGCAGGUAGGACCAUCUCAGCAGUGUUUGAUAGAAUCUAAUACUAGUACAGUAUAGACAAUAAUGUAUAAAAAGUUCUAGUAGUCACAACCAGGCAUGGGCUCGGAGAGGUGAAUCGAGUUACCCCAAGGUCACACAGCUGGUAGGAGGCACAGCCAGGACCAGAACCCAGGUCUGUCUGACCUCAGAUCCACCGUGACGCUUGGACUCCCACAUCACGUGGCUUUUCCAAGAUGAGUUGCUCAGAUAGAUCCCUUGCCUGCACUUCCUUUGUGUCAGGAGGAGGGGGGGGCAAAAAAAUCACUCUGCCUUUCCCAGACUUCCCCCAGGCCUCACCAGCAGAUCACUGAAAUGUUAUUUAUCAUGAAAACAUCUGGGAACAAUAGCAGUUCCCAGGGCCAAGCUUGCACUGUUGGCUGUUAAAACGCUGUUUAGAAUGAAAGUGGAGGCAAGGAAGGUGUAACCCAGGAGGCGGAGUUGAUGGGUUGAUGCCGGGCUGCCUGGGUUUGACUCCCAUGGGUCUCUGGGCAGGUCACUUCGCUUUGAACCUGUUUCCCACAUCUGGAAAAUGAGAUCCUGACCAUGGGUAAUGUGCUCCCCUCUCCCAGUGGGAGCAGAAUAUCGGAAGCCCCCCAAUUUGUUUUUCACAUCUGGAGAUGACAUUUAUGAAUGCCCCCAGCGUGGGUCUCCAUGUAGACAGUCGGUGCCCAAUCAAGUUUAAAAAUAAAAUAAAAGAGAACAAAGUGCAGUGGGGUCUGUUGGGGAACCAAGGAGCUGGAUGCACCGGGCGGACCUCAGCCCUGGCGGCCUGCCGCCUCCCUCCCACCUGGAGUGUCCAGACCAGCCCGGGCCUCCGAUUAUCUUGGCCUUGCUGCCCCAUGGGGAUGAAGGAAGCACCUAACACUCUGUGUGCUUAAUUCGCGUUUUUAUUUGGGAAGCUGGAGGUUUAAGAGUGGGGAGAGGGAAUGCUAGACUUAGAAUGCGACUGGGGAAGUGGGAGAGGGAGGGUGAAGAGCUUCAGCCCAGGCUCCUACGUCCUAAGUCAGCUCACCAGGUACCAGAAAACACCGUCUGCGGUGGGGUGGCGGUGGCGGCAGCGCUUGUAACAACAGCUGCCUCGUCCGCUGCACUGGCCCAUCCCUCCUCCUGGAUAUCUGCCUGGCUGCCGCCGCCUCCUUCGGGUCUUUGCUCAAACGUCUCAAAACAGACACUUGCCCUGAUGGCCUGUUUAACAUUGCAGCCACCCCUGCCGCACCCCCUGGCACUCCUCAGCCCCUGCCCGGAUUUAUUUUUCUCCACGACACGAAUCCCCUCGCAGCGCAGUCUGUAGUGCACUCUGUUCUGUAUUCUGUCUGUUUUCCGCCCUAGGAUGUCAGCUCCCCCAGGGGAGGGACUUACCUGCUGUUCAAGGUGCCUGCGCAUGGCCGGUGCUCAGGUGAAUGACAGGAGGGAGGGAGGGCUUCCUGUGUCCCCGGGCCUUUGCCCUUACUGUCGUGUGUAAUCUUUAACUGCCUGGAGAGGUGGGUUUCUAUGGUCCCCAUUUUUAUAGAUGAGGGCAUUGGAACUUGGUUGCAUAGUAAUUUAGUACCUCGGUGCCUUCUUUAUAUCAUCCACAGUCUUGGGGCUUGGUCCUUCCCUCCCUCCUUCCCUCUCUCCCCUUGCUCUCUUUUUCCCUCCCUCCAUCCCUCCUGACUUCCUCAAAGCACCUGAAUUGUGCUGGGCACUGGGUCUGGCCCUGGGAAGAGGGAGGUAAACCCAAUUUGAUCCCCGCCCUCCGAGGCACGAGUCUUGGGGUGGGGUGGUCAGAGCUGACACAAGCCCCUGCCGCCCAGGGUCCUAAGUGCUCUAGGAGAGUUAUGAGUCAGAACUGCUUGCUCCCCUGUGCUCCCCUGUGGAGAUCUGGGUCUUAAAGGUGGAGUAGGAGCUCCUCAGCAGACCAGGCAGGGACAGGCAUUCCAGGCAACACAGCAUUGCUCGUGGCAGAACCACACGUGGUCCAGUCUCCCUGAAGCAGGAUCUAGGCAAGGAGGAGCGGCCAGUGAGGGGCCUGGAAGGUGUCCUGGGGGCUGCAGGUGCCCAGCCAAGGAGCUUGGACUUUAUCCAGCUGGCACUGGGCCAGGAGAGAUGUCAGCCCAGGAGCCUCCAGCUCGCCUGGGUUUUGCCACUGGGAGCCUGGUAAAGGGAGGGAAUGAUGGGGGGUGCUCAGCUGAGGUUUUUGGCCCGCCCAGGAUUCUCCGUCCCGUCCUUUGUCUCCGUUGCAUCUCACUCCCCUAAUUGCUCUGGGUUUCCCCUCCAGAGAAUAACGUUUACAGCCAAGGCCUUAUUUCCCGGAAGGCCAGGAUAGUCAUUGCUGCAAGAAUUCUUACAGUUCCUAUAAAUCCCGCCAGCUCCUCUAAAGGAGUGUCGACCUGGGUGGUGGCACUGCGGUGAUCUGUACCAAGAAUUCCGAAAACACUUAAUUCCUAAAAGCCCUUGUAUCAUCCUCUUCAGCUCUGUGUCUCCUGCUGGUUUCAGAGCCAGAGAGGUGAUACCGACUUACGAGCAUCAUAGCAAUUGCAGUCAUUUCCCAGGUACCUACCACUCACCCAGCACUGCACACAGAGCAUUAGCCCAUGCAGUGCUGGCAUCAGCGAUGGACACUGGAGUGUUUCUCUGCUGUUACUGAAGCCCAGAAAGGUGAAGCAACUUACCCAGGGCCACACAGCUUCUAAGAGCCUGGGAGCCAGGACUGGAGCCGGGGUCUGUCUGCCCCAAGGCACCUGUCAACCCGGCAUCCCUCUUCCCUGAAUCCCUGCAUGGUCUGUAGCUAACAUCCCAGGCCCUGCCUCUCUCCUAUCACUUCUGACUUGAUGCCCAAGGAAUAAAUACUGGGCUCCUUGAAGUUUCCUUGUCACUUCACAUCCUGUUCCUUUGCCUUAACCGCCCCUCUCCUUACCCUGGCUAAUUCCAGCUCCUCAUGAAAGACUCAAGAGUCACUGCCCCUAGGAAGCCUUCCUGAUCUCCCCCAGGCCCUUCCUCUGGCUGCAACCAUUCCAGCCCAUUGCCCUUCCUGCUCCCUGUUGAAAUGAUCUGCUUACACGUCCACUUCCCCACCUUGAUUUUAAGUUGCCCCCGGGCAGAUAUCUGAGGUACCUCAGCAUUGUUAGCAGAGAGCUGGCAUACAGUAGACACUGAAUAAGUGCUUGUUGUCCUGGCCAAGCUCCAGGCAACCUCUGAGCCCCCUUUCUGUUGGAAAGUCCCAGAUCCUGUGGCUUGUGCGAUGGACAUGUUUCUUUCUCCACCUUUCCCCUUUUGGGUGGUGGCGUUGUAUAGGAAGGGCUGGAUAGGGCACCACCAGCUGGCCCAAGAGGGUGGCCGCUCCCUGCCUGGCAGCAGAACCCCUGGAUGAUGUUCUGACCCAGUGAUGCAACCCCAGUGGUGGCCCCUGUUUUACAGAGGGGGAAACUGAGGCCCCAUGAGACUCACCUGAGGUCACACAGCUCAUUAGAGGCACGGCCAGGGACCCGAGGUCUGACUGAGCCCAGGCCCCUUCUCUGUGCCGAGCGGAGGAGGUGGGUGGGAGUCCAGGGCAGGCCCAGCAGGACUGGGCAGUAGACAUUCUCAGGCUGUUACCCUCCCUUUCUCUAAGGCGUCAUCUGUGUGCUCCUCUGUCCCCAGAUACUCCCAUGUUAACACCAAGGCUGGGAAACAGGAAGGACCCUGCCCUGCCGGCGGCAGUUAGAUCCCCGGGUGGGGACAAGUCUGCAUCUGUAGGAGACUAAGCACCAGCUCUCAUCACGUCGGAGAGAAGGACUAACUUCUCAUGGCAUGAACAUGGACCUGCAGCCUCAUUUUCAGUGGCUGUACUAUAUUCCAUUUUUCCAGUUAUGUAUGCCCACUUUAUUUAGUCAGGCCCAGAUUGAUUUUUGGACACGUAGGUUUUUCCCAGUCUUUUUGCCUUAUAAAUAAUGCUUCAGUAAACAUCACUGGACUUUCAUCUUCACGCGCCUGCAUAACCAGCAUAACUUUUAGAAGCCGGGUAACUGGGACGGAGGCAAAGAGCUCUUGCAGCACACUGAUUAAAUCCCUCUGGUGUCAGCUAGACCACGGUGUGAGCACACGUGCGCACACACAGGCAAGUUGCUUAAUUCCCCUGAGCCUCCGUUCUCUCCUGUAUAAAACGGAGCAGCAGGUAUGCAACCCUUAUCCAUCGUUCUAAAAUCCAUAAAGCUCUCCUUUGUAGCAAAACCACCCUGUACCAAUGUACUGACAUGAGGUUAUUAAUAGUAUUUACACACGGUGUGACUAUUCAUAUAUUUUGCUGCAGAAAUAUUAAUACGAUUGCCUGUGGGGUGUUGCACUACACCAGUGUUUAUCCACUUUUUUUGGGUAUUUUUUUCAUUAUCAUCCCCCAAAGGGCCUUUUAAAAACUUUUACUUAAUUGCCGUUCCAUGAAAUUUUAAUAUCAUAGUUAAUAUUGUACAUCUGUAUGUGUACUGUAUGCAUAUCUGUGCCAAGGUUCCCCCCACCAAGAACCAAUUUUCACCCCCUUAGGGACAGUAUCAUUCCUGUAGAGAAUGCAUGACCUAGACCAGUAGUUCUCAACCAGGCGCGACUUUGCCCCCCAGGGACAUUUGGCGAUGUCUGGAGACAGUUUGGGUUGUCACAGCUGUGGGUUCGGGCAUCGGUCGGUACAGACCAGGAAGGCUGCUAGCCUCCUCCAGCGCACAGCGACGGCCCCCCUGCAACAGGCCAGAGUUCUAAGGUUGGCAGACCCUCCUCAAGACCCCACUGGGGGUUCCUCCCAAUAUACAGUAUGUGCACUCGCCUGCUGCCCUUCUAAAAUCUGAAUUAGAAGGCAUCUGGCCCCUGGGUUAGGGGUCAGGGCCGCUGGAGCUGUAACACUAAAACCUACUUCACAGGUCGGUGGGAGGACGCUUUGGGGGUCCUCCCCAAAUCAGUAAAUGCACUUUACUGAUGCAGUAAAGUGCAUUUCUUGGCACCUGGCCGUGGUCCAUGCUCACCCAGGAUGAGCCAAAGCGCCCGAGUGCCAGACGUCCAGGGUCCUGCGCCUGGAUGCUGUCUCCACAUUGAGAAAUACACGUUCAGGAGCCUUUCAAAAUCACUAGGUUUGCCUUCCAAGUCCCGUUAAGUGGGUGCUGGCCCCAGGGAUGCCCAGGGCUUUUCCAGCAUGCCUGAAAGCUUGCAUGGGCACCAGCUCCUUACAGAUGGGUCUGUUAUUUUGUUUGUGGGCUUUGGCCAAGGUGCAGUGUCUGUUUGAACAUGCCUCUGGGCUUGGCCAGCAGCCAGCGGUAAGCUGGCCUGGAGCGGUGCAUGAGGACCAGCCCCCGAAUCCUGGAGUUCAAGACAGAGGCUUCCGAACGCUCUCACCCACUUGUGACCCAGUGAGCCACGCGAUGAGCAAACGGCACCCUGAAGCAGGCAGUUCCGCCCCGACUUGGGUGCUGCUAAGAGUUGGCCAAAGAGACACCAUCCACCGGGCAUUUUCCAGGGCCUCUCUGGCUUCCCGAGGGCUGGACUGGGAAGCAGAGGUGGAUCAAGUUGUGAGUUAGAACAGGCGGCGCCCUGGACCCUGGGCAGGGUCUUUGAACAAAACCACAGGCUGGGCUGGGCACCAGAAGGAAACGGGGCCCUUGGCUCUGUUCCAGGCGAUGGAAUGUCGGCCCAACUGGUUUUCCUCCUUCACUGGAGGAGCUGGGCACUCAUAAACAAGGGAACUGCCAGGCCCGUCAACAGCAGAGAGGUCCUGGGCUCUGCCCCUGCCCCUGCCCUGCCCCCACGCCAGGGGAAGAGACGCCCCAUCCGUGCUCCGUGCCAUCUCUGCAGACCAGCCCCUUAUCCUCACGGUGGGUCCUUAAGCCUCUCCUGCAGGGCUGCUCCGCAGGGUGUAUGGGAUGAGUCUGUCCAGUGCCCAGCAUAGCCCGCUGUCAGUGAAGAUGGUGUUUCGCUUCACCUGUUCCUAGGCUGUUUGGUCACCUGCACUGCCUUCUCCAUUCGCCCCCAUCUGUUCAAUCUGACCCACUUUUCAAGGCCUGGGCCAUGUCACAUGCCCUCUGUCACCUGCCACUCCUGAGCCCCUGUGUGCACUCUCCUCCCCUUCUGUCUGGGGCCCCGAAGUACUUUGGGUACCUGGGAUAGGAAAUCAUUAAUCAUGGGGCCCAAGAUGACCAAGGGGGUGAUCUAAGGUGGAAUUGUCUGCCCCUUGUGCCUAGUAAACUUUCUGUAACAGCUUUGACAUCUCCAUAUCAGCACUUAAAAUUCUACUUCAUUGUUUUUGAUGGCAGCACGGAUUCCCUUGCAGGGAUAAACCUGUUUACAGAUGCCCUUAUGGAAAGACAACUGGGUUGUGUUUGCUGUUAACCAAAAACCAAAUGCUGCUGCUGUGAGCAUCUUUGGGUGUGUGAGUUGAUAUCGCGGAGGAGGUGGUGGGUGUGUCCUGCCUGGAAGAGAUGCUGGUGGAUUUGGGAUCCUGAGGCAAUGGACAGACACACCGGCUCCCCGCCUCCUCCCCGGGUUCACACUUACGUCAAGGCUGCAGUUCUGUCGCCUGACACGUUGAGCCAUCGCCUGAAAUAAACAUGAGAGAGAUGUUUUGACAUGUGAUGUUUCAAAAAAAAAAACAACAACACAGAGUCAGAUUUGGCGGAGACUGUUUUAAGAAUCCCUCCAGGAGAGCCAAGUCAGGGUGGAUGGGAGCAGAUCCCAUGAAGAAGAGAUGCUAGGAAACAUGAAAGAAUUACGUAUUUACGUAGAAUCGUACAUUUUAACGUUUAUUUUUAAAAACUACCAACAGCAAAUGUUACAAAAUACAAAAAGAGGUAGAAUUUUAAAACUAUGUCUCCCUCUCUCCCCCUCCCCCCCGUCACUCGCUUCCCCUCCCAGAGGCAAGUGUGAUGACAGUUUUCCUAUGUCCUUCUCACAUAUUCUAUGCAUUUUCAAAUAUUUACGUAUAUAUUUUUCCUCGCUCCACCUGUUGCUUCCAGCCUUGCCUUAUUCACUUGACAGUGUAUCUUGGAAGUCACUCCAUAUCGGGACACAUACAUCUUCCUCAUUCCUUUGAACAAUUAAAGAGUAUCCCAUGCUAUGAUUGUUCUAUAAUUUUAAAAUAUAAAAAUACACUUUAAAAAAACAAAAUUCCCUUUUAUCUUGGCUCAUCUUAACCUUAGAACUGUAGACCUUUUAUUAAUAGAACCUUAGACUUAAAAGGAAAUUGAAUUUGUCGGUGUAAAAGUAUCUCAGGACUUUUAGAAUGUUCUCUGCCCCUUCCCCACCAAGUGGGGCAUAGAAGGUUCCUGGUUCCUGGUUAUUUGGGGGGGAUUGUCCUCCCUCCCUGGAUCAGUCUCUCCUGUUUUGCACCUUAAAAAAUUAUCACAGUCGCCAGUCCGCUUUCACUGUUUGUCAGCAUGCUGAACAUGAUGUUUUAGAAAAGAGAUUUGUUUUUUAAAAUGUAACAAAAAUUAAAAUUUAAGGGCAUAUAUGAAAACAGACGGUCCUGGGAUAUAUCAAGAGUCUUUAAGUAGACAGUAAUAUCGUUCAUGGGCAUGAGAGAGGGGUCCGGGGAUCAUCUGUGGAUCGUUCAUUCACUCAUUCAUUCAUACACGGAUUCAUUCAUUCAUUCACUCUCUCCCUCAUUCAUUCAUUCAUUCAUUCACUCACUCACUCAUUCAUGUAUCCAUCCAUUGUCAGUUGCUCCCCUGACCACUGUGGCUGUCUCUUAACUUGGUGCCAGGGUUUGAGGGUGAACAGACCCCAGUGCCUGCCCUCAGGGAGCUCACAGCCUGGAGGAGACCGUCAAACAAACAGUAAGCACAGUCCAGCACAAUAAGCUGUAUGAUGAGCUGAGCACAGGGGGAUUUUAUGGGGUCCCAAGGGGAGACCCAGUCCCGCUGCCGAUGGAGGCAGUCAGGAGAGGCUUCUUGGAGGAGCUGAUGCCUGAGAUGUGUUUCAGGGACACAUUCCAGGCAGACCUGGGCCAGCACUGGCCAGCAGCUGAUGGACUAUACCAAGAAGUCUCCCAGAGGGGCGUUUCCUGGGUGCAGUGACAGCAGGAGUUGGUGGAAUGGGGCAUAACUGGCCAUAGACUGGGAGCCGCCUGUGUUUGAAUCGGGUCCCUUCACUCACUCCUGAGACCCCGGGCGAGUCGCUUCACCUCCCUGUGCCUCGGUCUUCGCAUCCGGAAACUGGGGAUAGUUCACAGUACCUGCCUCUUAGGGCUGUCGGGAGGACUAAUCUCGGCAGCUUGGCACGCAGGAAGAGCCGUAUCAAGGUCCCUUCUUGUUGUACCUGUCCAUCUGUGAAAUGGGCGUGUGAAAGCAUCUGCUCUGGGACUUAAGCUAGACGGUGCACAUAAGGAAUCUGACUUGGUGCCAGGCGUGCAGUGGGUGCUCCUUACACGUUCCUGGUUAUGACUGUUUUCAUUGCCCCUUUGCCCACCUCCAACACCCAGAGCACAGGGUGCCUGCCGGGUUUCUGGAGUCUGGGAGACCCCGCCUCCGAGGCCAACGAGAGCCUGGGCCCCCCAGCCCAGCUGUCCUUUCUGUUUAUAGACUUGGAGGUGGAGGCCGUCGGAAGAGCCAGGAAGCCCCCCCGACCACGGAGCCCUGCGGGGCACCCCCCGCUGGAACCAGGCUUGCCUCCUGAGGACCAGCUGCCAACGUGUGUUCCCGUCACUUUAGGUGACACACUUGCCCCCUAGAGUCAGCGUGUCUCUGCCGGAGCUGUCAUUUUGCAGCCUGCGUACCCGGCUUGGCCCUGGAGGGGGGCAGGUGUGCUGGGGUCAGCUCACUCCGUGAUGGAGGGGAGCAGCUGGCUGAUGUCCGGGUCGGGAGAGAUGUUGAGGGAUCUGGUUAAGGCAGCCCCUUUGCUCUCCGCUGAAUGACAGGGCUGUCAGGCCUCACAGUUAGAGCGUUUGUUUAAAUGAUGUGCUUCUGGGAACUAAGCAGUGGACGUCAUCGUCAUCAUCAUCAUCAUCAUCUCAGCUGGAAUCUAUUUGGCACUUAGCGUAUGCUGGGUGUGUGCAGCUCUCACCAGAUGUCUUACAAAAUCCCCCCAACUCCCCUAAGCACCCUCCCUAUCCCCAUUUUACAGAUGGGAAAAUUGAGGUUUUGAGAGGUUUGCUCAUAGCUACCAAAAGGCAGAGCUGGAUUUGCCCUGGUCUGCCCCAUCUCAGAGCCUUCCCCACCUCCAACUCAUCAGAGCCCCGGGGUAGGUUCAUUUCCCAUCUGCAACCUAAAAGUUCGUGCUUUCUGUUGCUAAUCACCAGGCACUGCUAGCUUCUCCCUAGAGUGUUUAUGAAAACUGAUUGUAUUCAAGGUGUGAACAGCAUCAUUUCAUCAUCAGUCAGGUGGGCAAACCCAGCAAGGGUGUGAACAAUCCAAACGGGCACUCCUUUAAAGGGGAAGAAACCAAUGCCUCUUCUCCAGGAAACAGCUGACAGCUCACACAGGCCGGCUUGGUGAGCUCCGGACAUUAGCCACCAGGCAGAGGUGAGCCAUCAAGUGGCAGAGGGCCCCUGAGACCUGCCAUCCCUAGCCACUAAGCCACCAAGAGAGGAAACCGAGGCUCAGAGAGGUGGGGGCUUUGCUCGAGGUCAUCCAGAGGGGAAGCCAGCGCUGAGCCUGGCACCUUUGCUCACCACGAUGGGCCAGGGGACCCAGUCCGGGAACAGGUGUGUUCCUGUGGGGGGAGCCGCAGCAGCACCGCCCAGGUGGGCCGGGCCAGCCCCGUCUCUGAGCCCAGCACGUGUCCUCCUCCCCCGUUCGUCACUCUCGCCCUACGCACCUCUCUCCCUGUGCCCACCUCCACACACCUCCCUGUCCCGAUGUGUUUUCUCCGUUUGUCUUGCCCUCUGCCUUAGCUACGCCCCCGUCCAAGCCACCACAGUGUGCCACGCAAAGCCACACCUGGCUAUACCUGGUCACAUCUGGCCAGACUGCACUGUUGUUCCCAGAGCCCAUUGAGAGGGGUCAGAAACUGGUGUCCCGGGGCUUCCCUGGUGGCGCAGUAGUUGAGAGUCCGCCUGCCGACGCAGGGGAUACGGGUUCGUGCCUCGGUCCGGGAGGAUCCCACAAGCCGCGGAGCGGCUGGGCCCGUGAGCCAUGGCCGCUGAGCCUGCGCGUCCGGAGCCUGUGCUCCGCAACGGGAGAGGCCACAACAGUGAGAGGCCCGCGUACCGCGAUGAAGAGUGGCCCCCGCUCGCCGCAACUGGAGAAAGCCGUUGCACAGAAACGAAGACCCAACACAGCUAAAUAAAUAAAUAAAUAAAUUUAUUUUGAAAAAGAAAGAAAGAAAAAAAAAGAAACUGGUGUCCCACCAACCUUUCCCCGGAAGCACCAUGCCCUGCCGUGGGGCAGGGGCACAAGGCCUGGCUUGCGUUGCCACCUUAGGUGACACUGCGGACUCCCAGAAGCCCAUCAACUGCGCCAACGCCUCCUAGCUGGGACACAAGUCCACAGGGAGGGGACACCGUGUGGGUUUUGCUGACAGCACUGGGAGAGCGUUCUGAGGGCUCUGUCCUGCACUGUUUCUGUCCGUUUCCUUCUGGCCUGACUGCCUUACCUUGUUCUCCCUUCUCUCCUUUUUGUGUUUUCAUGCCUCCCCACCUUCCCUCUUUCCUCCCUUCCUCCCUCCUUCUUUCCUAUUCAGUGAGCACUUAACUCUGCCAGGAGCUGUAACUAAGCUCUGAGAAUCCAAUGGUGAUGAGACACAGCUCUCCCCUUUUGGAGGUUGUGUGUACUGAGAGAAACAGGCAUCCAAGGAACCGUCCAAGUGCUGAGAACCCCCAGCCGAGUCCAGGGCUCAGAGGGACAGAACAAGGACCUAGACUCAGGCGGGAAUCUGCUCGGAGGGGCCGCCACGCACUCUGCGAUGUGCAGAAGGCCGCCCUUAGCCAAGCGAACAGCUGUGCUGUGAAGGUGCACGGGGCGUUUGGGCGUCACUGUGGCUGCAGCACAGGGGAGGGAGUGAGGGUGAGAAGAGGUGGUUAGGAGAGUGGGCGCUGGACAUCCAGGCCUUGCCGGCCACAGUGGGACAGACAGUGCUCUUAAGAGCCUGGAGCGGGGGGUACAGGGUGGAUGGGAGACACACUGGGGGACUCGGCCCAUCCUUGGCCUGCUGUCCCCCCUUCCCCUCUCUGGGCCUGAGGCCCCACCCUGGGUUCAGCUAGGGAAUGCACUGUGGUAACCAGGCACAGGCCAGGGGAUCAGGACACCUGGAUUCGAGGCGUGGCCAGGCAUCCUUUCCUCUCUCUGGCCCUCAGUUUUCCCAUCAGUGAGAUGGUCAUUGAAGGCCCUACAAAGCUCUCCAUGUCAAGCCAGAGCUUGGAGUAUGCAGCAGUUUGGGGGAGUAUUUUGGGGCUUGGGUGUCAAGCAAACCAAGUUCAAAUUGCAGCUCCACCACUUUUUAACUGUACCGCCUUGGGUGUGUCAGGUCCCCUCUCUGGGCCUCAGUCUCCUCCCCUGUAAAAUGGGUCCAUUACGGUUCCUACCACAUAGCGUUGUUUGGGAGCAUUAGAUGGCAAAGUGAAAGGUCAUGAUAAUCACCAGCGCUCACAGUAAUGUUAGCCCUUGAUAUUAUUGUUAGUAUUAUUGCCCAGCCGUUGUGCAAGUCUGAUCUGGGCACAAGGCAGGGAGGUGCCACCAGGUCCCGGGGGCACUGGGAGAGAGCCAGCGUCACCCCAGCCUGGGUCCCAUGACACCGGAGCACCCUGCACAGCUGAGAGUGUCCAGUUGCAGAGGGGGGAGGGGGACGCACAUCUUGAAUUGCCCCGUCAGCCGCAGGCCACCGAACACCGUUCUGACUCAGGCUUCUUUCCCAGGCGGAUGUGUCAGACACCCCAAAAUACACACAGGCAUAAUAUUUUCUCUUUUCCUCACUCCUUCCCUAAUGACACGGCCUUUUCUGGGUAAGGAGCUCACACCUACUCAGUGCAGCAAAGUUAUUUUCAGAAACAUAUUCCUCCAGCAAAUAUUUAUUCAGCAAGUACUCCAGGCCUGGCAUGGUUCUAAGCACUGGGGUGCAGCAGUGGAUGAAGGAAUCCCCAUUUUCAUGCAGCUGACAGUCUAAAGGGUAUAGGUCAGGGAUCAGCCAACUGCCUGUGGGCCAAAUCCAGCUAGCCGCCUGUUUUGUAAAUAAAGUUUUAUUGGAACACAGACAUUGUGCUGCUGACAUGGUAACGAAAGGAAAGCUGAAGUUGGGACAGAGACCCCAUGGCCCACAAAGCCCCAAAUAUUUAUUAUCUGGCCCUUUAUAGAAAGAGUUCGCUGGGCUCUGAUAGAGAUUAAGAAAUGAAGAGCCCCCUUCUGAUUUGUUUUUAAUUCGUGAUGUCUACUACGUGAUAGUGUUGGAGGAAUUAUUUAAUUAAUUUUAUUUAAUUUUAUUAUCUGAUGAUAUUGGGAUAAAAAAAUCACAAGUGUGGAUACUAACUAAAAUCAUCAUCAGUAAUAGAAAGACAGCCCAUUUCCUCACCACAUACAGUGCCACUGGUAUCAGUUUUCUGUGGAAACUUCUGGAGACUUCCUUUGCUUAUUCUCACAUGCAUUUACAUAUUUGUUUUUACAAAGCUGGUAUCAACACAUGUGCUGUUUUGUUACCUUUUUUAAAAAAAAUAAUAUUUGCUAGUGUAACAGACAUCUUUCUGUGACAGUAAAUAUUCCUUCUGAUCAUCAUUUUCUUUGGCUGUGUUUAUUCCGUCACGUGGAUAUAUUAUAUUGUAUUUCACCGAUCCCCAUCUUAUUGGAUAUUUAGGACAAUUCCAGUGUUUUGCAAUGUUAGGUCCAAUAUUUUGCAAUCUUUGCUCUCCUGCGGCGAAGCGUCUGUGUUCGUAGGUCUUGGUGAGCGUGUCUAAUGAUUUUCUUGAGAUAAAUUUCUGGAACUAAAAUUGCUGAGUGGAGGGUAUGCACGUUUUAAAUUUCAGGACAUGUGUUGCCGCUUGUUUAAACACAACCCUCAAAGGCGUCUGUUAGGCUGGUUUCCCCAGCCUGGGUGUUAGAAAACUGUCCAUUAUAGGUCCUGGGCU